GACGAACGCUGGCGGCGUGCCUAACACAUGCAAGUCGAACGGAAACGCCCUGCUUUUGUGCGGUGCUCGAGUGGCGAACGGGUGAGUAACACGUGAGUAACCUGUCCUUGACUUUGGGAUAACUCCUGGAAACACGGGCGAAAACCGGAUAUGAGUCUCUGCUCCAUGGUGGGGGUAGGCAAGUUUCGGCGGUAGGGGAUGGUCUCGCGGCUUUUCAGCUUGCUGGUGGGGUAGUGGCUUACCACGGCUUUGACGGGUAGCCGGCCUGAGAGGGUGAGCGGACACAUUAGGACUGCGAUACGGCCCAGAAUCCUACGGGAGGCAACAGUGGAGAGUAUUGCACAAUAGGGGGAAGCCUGAUGAAGCAACGCCGCGAGCGGGAUGACGGGCUUCGAGUUAUAAACCACUUUCGCCUGUGACGAAGCGUGAGUGACGGUAAUGGGUAAAGAAGCCCCGGCUAACUACGUG
rnacentral:rRNA from 1 species